rnacentral:hammerhead_ribozyme from 1 species
AUCCAACUGACGAAUCUGAAGUAGGACAAAACGCUCGUCCUGGAU